CUCCUUACAUUUUUCAGGUAGUUGCAUCCCUACCAACGAAAGCUUGCUUAUAACGAUGUAAUUAGCCUGUGUAGCAGACAUUUAAUUGCUUCCGGGCGGCGAGAAAAAUAAACUCCUGCCGUAAUGCCAGCCAUUGUGAAAAGCGUUUCAUGCCGACUGGAGAAAACUUUGGAAAAAUUCCCCAUUGGUCAAUUCUCUUGCCGAAAGUUUG